rnacentral:lncRNA from 1 species
UCCUUCAUAGACAAGGAGUGAAACUCUGGGUUGUCUACUCCUGGAUCCCUUAGCUCAGGACUCCAAACACACAUUCUUCUUAGACCAUAGGGUCAUUCUCAGGGACCCACGGGUCAAAUAGCAAACUCAACCAACCAAGAUAUGAAAAUGACUCAAUAAAGAGAAGAAAAAGUUAAAGUACUUGACAAAAUGAGAUAUGCUGCCACAAUUUUGAACUUUACUUCUUAUGAGAAGGCCCAGAGGAGAUUUAAACACAGACGUGUGCACAGUGGAAAGAUCUGUGACAACAGAGGGAGAAAUUCAGCCAUCCAAGCCAUCCACAAGUGAAGGAGAGAGGUCUCAAUGAAACCAACACUGCUGACAACUUGAUCUUGGACUGCUACCCUGGAUAACUGU